UACGUAGGGUGCGAGCGUUAAUCGGAAUUACUGGGCGUAAAGGGCUCGUAGGCGGCCAACUAAGUCGGACGUGAAAUCCCCAGGCUCAACCUGGGAACUGCGUCUGAUACUGGAUGGCUUGAAUCCGGGAGAGGGAUGCGGAAUUCCAGGUGUAGCGGUGAAAUGCGUAGAUAUCUGGAGGAACACCGGUGGCGAAGGCGGCAUCCUGGACCGGCAUUGACACUGAGGA
rnacentral:rRNA from 1 species